rnacentral:rRNA from 1 species
CAGUCGCCACGGGAAUACGAAGGGUGCAAGCGUUAAUCGGAAUUACUGGGCGUAAAGCGUGCGUAGGCGGUCUGUUAAGUCUGUUGUGAAAUCCCCGGGCUCAACCUGGGAAUGGCAAUGGAUACUGGCAAGCUAGAGUGUGUCAGAGGAUGGUGGAAUUCCCGGCGUAGCGGUGAAAUGCGUAGAGAUCGGGAGGAACAUCAGUGGCGAAGGCGGCCAUCUGGGACAACACUGACGCUGAGGCACGAAAGCGUGGGAAGCAAACAGGAUUAGAUACCCCAGUAGUCCCUGUCUCUUAUAC